rnacentral:misc_RNA from 1 species
AAGCGGAAGUGCUCGCACACAUUUGUGUUUUACUGUACUCCAUUCAACCGAUUCAUGGACGGCGGCUUCCAUACGUGAGCCACGCUCCCUCCCUCUCUCGUCCCCCAAUCCUUUUUUUCGUGGGACCCUCGAACACCAGAUUGCCCGCUGAAACGCGUACGCCCACAUACACGGCACGGAGAGAUUCGCACCGGGAGACGUGCUCUGCAUUUGCGCUCACUGUAGAACACUUGUGUGUGUCUUCUGGCUUUCUCAUUCCCGUCUUCUCUCCUCUCGAGCAUUUUGCCUCUUCUUUUUUUUUUCUCUUUCUCGCCCGUUGUCUCUCUUCGUCUGGGCUUCCUUCUGCGGCGUUGCCGGUCGGCACCUCCUCUUUUCGCUUUUCUCGGUCGUGUUGCUGUACAUGGUGCGCGUGUUUGCCUCCUUUUUUUUUUUCGGUGCCCGAUUCAGCUUUCGUAUCUGUACCCCCUCCCCCACCCACCCAAGACGAAAAAGCAAAACAAGUGUGCUGGGGCAUAAAGUUCUUUCGCGUCUUCGCUCUGCUUUGAUUUUUCUUUCCGUUUUGGUGCGUGGAAGCGAGUGUGCGACGCUCUCCUCGAGUCGGGGCACAAAGUGCUCUUCUCGUCCCCGCGACUAUCCCCCCGUCCGCGCCCUUCUCGCGCACGCUGGGAUUGCUCAAAGCGUAAAGCCGUCACCACGAGCGUCAUGUCGAUGUGGAAGGUUUCCCCCGUCGAUGGUGUGGACGACGGCGACUGCCAUAACUACAACGCCUUUGUGUGGCAGCAGCUGCUCAGCAACCUCGACCUGGAGGGCAACUCCGACCCCACAAAUGCGGAUGGGGCCAACAAGACCCCCGGAUCCUGCUCUAUCCCCAUGAUCGGGCUCAAGCAGAGAAACGCGAGUGCAAAGGACACAGUCCUGUCAGUCAAGCUUGAUGCUCUCCGCACUUCCUCGUUUGGCGGCAGCCCAACUGCCUUGCAGGACGACGGGUACUCGAGUGAGGAUGAUCACGAAUCCCCUGGCGACCAGGCUGGGUCGGGCAGAAGCACCACACCCUUCUACUCGUCGCCUACAACUACUGCCACCACUAAGAGCGGCAGCGGCAGCUGUGUCGCGUCGACGCAAAACAGCAGCGAUGCUACCGCUCCGUGCUUCUUCAUAAAUGGGGUGCGCCACAGCAUCGAGUCCCCCUGCAAGACGCCGGACUGGACGGUGGUGCCAGCGUCGUCGUCUGCGUCAGCGAGGCAGGUAUCCGUGGAAUCCCCUCUGUGGGCCAGCGCGCACAUCGACCCGUCCCCCAAUCCGGCGAAGACGGUUGUGGCAGGUAACAACUCUGGCGUGCCCUGUGCGUGGGUGUGCGCAGAACAGUCGAUGACGCAGUCGCAGUCCUCGCCGAAUCUGCCUCUGUACGCGAAGCCUCUGACCCCGCCAGCUGGGUACGCGAUACCCGCCCCUCCGCCGUCGAGUGGAAUGGGGGGUGGAGUACAGAGCACGUUUACCCUGCCAAUGGGCUCGUCCGCUUACCUGGCAAACACGGUUUCCGUCAUGCAGCCGCCCCCGGCGUCCACCAUGCCUGUGGCUCAGCACGCGAGCACGCCGUCUUUCUUUCCGCAAAAGAACGACAGCGCUGCGAAUACCUUUCCAGACUGCUCGAUCUUGGGUUUUGUCUUCAUGGACGGGGAGGGUUGCCUACGCCUCGCUCCGCAGGGCUGCGCUGCUCCAGCAUCCGCCCUGUCGGCACUGCCCAUGAUGCACGUUCCUUGCGGCGCGACAGCGUCCUCUGGCAUGCCACAAAUGCAAUACACCCCAGGCACCAUGCCAGCUCAGCCCUGGCGCCCCACCGUUACCCCUGCCGCUGCCCCCGCUGCUGCUUCCGCCGAUGCCUCCGCCACUGCCUCCGCUGCUGCCCCCACCGCUGCCCCUGCCGCUGCUCCCUCCGUGUCACUCCCUUGCACAAUGUCCUCGGAGUCCUGGGGAAAUACCAAAGCAUGGGUGUUUCGCGAUGGCCGCUGGAUCUCAUUGUCUAUUUGAGCAUCGAGGCACCUCUUUUCGGUGUCUCUCGUUUUCAAAUUUAUUUUCACUAGUAGUUACUGGGCACACUUUGCCUUCGCCUUCUUUCCCGUUCUCUUCCUCAUUUUUUUUCCUCUGAAGCUCGAUCCCUCGUCUCCCCUCUUUUCACUCUCUACAAUCAAAAAGGCGUUGUUUUUUUUUUUUUUCUGCUGUUUUGUUGUUUUGUUGCGUGUGUGCGGUACUCCCUCCUGUACACGCUUGCAGCCGCCGCACCGCAUGAUUACAACUUUCCCCGUUUCACUCUUCUAUUUCUCGGUUUCUCACGCUCACUUUCUUCGAAUUGGUUUCUUAUCUUUUUCUCUUUUAGAUGUCGCUCUCCGCCCCUCCUCCCUGUGCCGGCUCUUUUUUUUUCCCUCUUCUCCCCACUUUCCUCUUUUUCCACAUUUGUUUAAGCAGUAAACGUCGUUCAAGUCUACGAAAGAAAUCGCACACACUCGUACUCCAACGCUCGUUCACGAUUUUUCACACACACACACACAAAAGGAACGCAUAGUACACGUCUCAAAGUAAUCUAUGAAUCGAUCCACUCUUUUUUUUUUCCUGUCUACCUUCUACUUUAUCUUCAUAUUGCCGACUCUUUCGCCCUCGCACCCUCUCACUGUUCUAUCAGCUCCUUUUUGGUUUCUCUUUUGACCGUCUCUCCUCGUGCCGAGCAGAUUUGUGCUUUUCGCUUGCUACCCAUGGAUGUUCUUUUAUUUCUUUGCUUCGCAUACGCCUGGUUUGCGGUAACUGUGUAUAUGCACAUAUAUACCUGCUCGUCUGUCUUGUGCGUGUGUGUGUGUAUGUACGUGUUUCUUGAUUCCGAGAAAGAGGAUGGCACUCUUUCCGCCUCUUCUCUCUUUUUCCAUCUUUAUUUCCGUUCUUGGAUUUUUUUUCCAGCUUCUCUUGUGAUGCUGGAGAGUGAUCGACGAGGCCGCGCUCGUGGGCACCUCAUCUAUGACAUGUUGAGUGGUUUUGUCUUUUACAUUUUCUUUUUUACACUUUUCUUCGUUUUCAUGUUUUCUCCUGUACGUUUCUCUGCCAACCAAGUUUUUUGCUUGUGCGCUCGUCUUAGCCUCUUUUCCCUUCUUUUUUUUUCUGUGCUUGAAUGCGACGGCGCCUCUCUCUACUGGGAAGCACUAUCUUCCAUCUUUUUCUUGUGUUGCCCAGUCUCUGUGUCUGGGCGUUUCUGUUUGUGUGUGUCUUUUGGGGAAAGCGCGACUAUUCAAGUGUCCGCAUGUCGAGAAGCGAGUGUCACGCGAUCUCAUGGUUUUCGGCACGGAAACUCGGUUUCUAGGUACUGGUGGUACAGCAGACGGUUAGGACACCCAACGUACGCUGACGCGUUAUCCUGUCUUCAUGUGCACAUUUCGCUUCUCCUUGUUAUUAUGCCUGUCUCCUAGAGUCCUCCGUUUUAACCCUACUUCUUUUUACUCUCUCCUUUGCUGGUACUGAAAAUGAGCAGCUUCGAGAUUUCUAGUUCCCUUCUCGCCUUCCUCGCAGCAGCCACCAAGCGCUUUUCUUUCCCACCUACGCAGUCCACAUGUGCUUUUUUUGUUUGCUUUUUUUUCUCGUUAUCAUUGUUACAAGUCUUCAUAUGUGCGCUGCUCUCCCUGCCCCUCCCCUCCCUCCCUUUUUGUGUUUGCGUUUUCUUUUUCCCACCUCUUUUGAAGGCCAUCUUUUUUUUUUACCGCCUUUCCGUUGUUUGUUUUCGUUUGGACCCUCCCCCCACUUUUUCCUUCUUCGUUCGUUUUGUGUGUUUCUCCUGUGUAGGCUACUCAUUCGAAUUCUUUCCUGUGCUAGCGCCCUGCCUGGUGUUUGUUUCUGCUCUCCAUUUGCCCCCCUCUCUGUGCUCCUCCUCCACCGGCAGAACAAACAAACAAC